GAUGAACGCUGGCGGCGUGCCUAAUACAUGCAAGUCGAGCGAACAGUCGCGGAUUUUGUCCCAAACGCGAGCGGCGCACGGGUGAGUAACACGUGUGUAACCUGCCCGUAAAACUGGGAUAACUUCGGGAAACAGGGGCUCAUACCGGAUAACAUUUAAUGCCACAUGGUGUUCAAUUGAAAGAUGCGGUUUUGCUACCACUUAUAGAUGGCUCCGCGCCGCAUUAGCUAGUUGGUGCGGUAACGGCUUACCAAGGCGACGAUGCGUAGCCGACCUGAGAGGGUGAUAGGCCGCACUGGAACUGAGACAGGGCCCAGACUCCUACGGGAGGGAGCAGUAGGGAAUCGUCCGCAAUGGGCGAAAGCCUGACGGAGCAACGCCGCGUGAGAGAUGAAGGUCUUCGGGUCGUAAAGCUCUGUUAUUAGGGAAGAACAAGUGUCGAUGGAAUUGAGCGGUUCUUGACGGUAACGUAUCAAGAAGCCCCGGCUAAAUACGUG
rnacentral:rRNA from 1 species